ensembl:snoRNA SNORD24 Small nucleolar RNA SNORD24
UGCCACAAUGAUGACAUUUUAUUUGCUACUCUCGACUGUGAGUAUGACGAGAAGUAUUACCACCAUUAUCCUAACUGAGGCA